rnacentral:autocatalytically_spliced_intron from 2 species
AGGAGCCGUGUGCGUUAAUUGCGCCAGCACGGUUCUGUGAGGGGGGUAUGCCGCGAGGCAUACCUCUACUCGAC